rnacentral:lncRNA from 1 species
AAGGGCAAUCUCUCUUGUGCCUUCGACAGUUCAGUUAAAGAUUUCUGUAUCAGCAAUUUGUUUCCCCAUUUUCUCAAAGAACGCAUAAAACCUGUUGCCUCACCGUAUCAAAAGAUCAAGCAGAAGAGUCCUCUUCUUCAAGAAGAGUUUUUCAUUAACUCUUCCGCAGCAAUGCCCGGGCAAUAAAACAAUCUGAGCAAAUCUGCUAAACAAUAUAUCAUUUCAAACGGUAUGUGCUGGUUGGAUAGAGCAAUCAGUAGUUGACGUUCGAACCAAUCUUCUCUCUAGUAGACUUUAGAUUCCGUCAUCCGUUUGUUUUGUUUUGAAUUGACAUAGAGAAAUCUUCCCACUACGUAAUUAAGGAAUAGGUGGCAAAGGAGAAUGUUCUUGCUUUUAUUCUAAAUUCACUAGAGGGAGCUGAGGGCCGCUACAAGUCUUCGAAGUUAUCUAGAAGAUGGCUUAGGCCGACCCUAGCCGCUAUGGCCUCCCUGCACGGUUGUGCCAUGGUGGAGUUCAGGAGCUAGUUGUGAUCAUCAAUGGUAUAUACUCGGAGAUGAUGAUCUAAAUACAUCUAUUAUAUGAGCAAUGUUCUUCAUGUCAUCCGAUCAGUUAGCGACUCAAUGCCUCCUUUUAUGCUCUUCUAUCUAUCAUGAAUAUGCUUAUUCCUUAGUCUAAUACAUGAUUAGACUACAUAGCAUGCUUUAUAUAAUCAUGGUGAUUAUAUCUAGUAUAUUGAUCCUUCUUGAUAGCUACUGUGUUCGUACCCUUACACUGCUUGCGCUGAUAGAGAGAAUCAUGACAGGAUCUGGCUUUUGUAAGGUGGGGGUUUUUGAGAGGUUGACCGAAGAUAGUAGUUUAAAGAUUGCUUUGGAUGAGAUGCAUGUUAUGCUUGCUUAUUAGCUAGAACUACAACUAGAAGAUAAUAGGCUCUUGUUGCUCCUGGUGGUGUUAUCCUAUAUAUAUACUUGUGGAUGCGAUCAAUCUAUGUUCUCAUAAUUCAUAUUUACAUCAUGGUUACUCUUCAUAUGCAAUUUAUGCUUCAUGUUAGGAUUAGAUCCGUUGAGCUAGAUAUAAAAUCCUAGUUCGUUCGAUGCUGAUCCAGGGAUUGAUUAACCUUGGAUGGAAUACUCUAAGGGAAAAGCUACAAUGAUCCGUGCGCUUGUGGUUCACAAUUUGGUGCACUAACUGCCGUCAACAAGCUUUUCUGGCGCCGUUGCUGGGGAUCAGCAACUCGAACCGUGGGGCGAUCUAUCUAAUUUUUUGGACUAACCCUAAUUUUUCUAUUGCAUAUAUCCUAUUUUGCUUGUUUGCGUCCUUGAAAGCAGGUAAAUGCUAGACGCCAGAUGAUCGAAUAUGGACUUUCAUCAAGUCUGGAUUCACUCCGAUAAGAUGAUAACAACAUCAAGCUAGACUCUUUAGUAGUAGGUGCUAACUUUGUUAGUGACCCAACAUCUGCUAUUGAGUCCACAUCAAUGAAGACAAUACAAAUGUUGAUAAGUAAGGUAUGACGCUAUGUCAAUUAACUUUUAAAGACUAAUAUUUCUUGGAGAUUUGUUUGUUCAAGUAACAGGUGUUGGAAGCAACCAUGUCAAGCAAAGAGGAAAAAUUGGAGGACCUCUCUGCACAGAAGGUCACAAUUUCAAGUUGAUCAAGACUGGAGGUAACAAGAUUAGAAGCACCAUAACAUUACCAAUCUUCUUCAGUGGGAUGCUCAAGAGAUUCUAAUUGAGUGAUGCAAUCAAGGAAGAAAACUGCUCAGAUCGUGGAUACAAAGCGCAAGAGCCUCCUUUGAUCCCGACACCUUAGCUAAAGCAAGAAUUAUGGAGAAGAUGUGUCAUUACCACCAUGCUACUUGCUGGUGCAGCAAUGGUGAUUACCUUGAAGCCAAAGGAUGUGCGACAUAAUACCCCAAAGAACACAAGAUCAAGAUCAUCAACAUCUCCGGAUCAAUUCAUGAGAAGCUACUGUUGUCAUCAAGAUUUUUGCUCGACCUUAGAAGAAAAUAAUAGAAUAUUUUUGGAUAUUCGAAAGUCUCAUGAAGUCUACAUUCCAACGAAUCAAGAAUUAAGGCAAUUGGAGAUUACUACAAGCUGUUAUGGCCAAAUCAUCGAACGUCAUGCGUCCUAAAAUCAGUUCUAAACAGCACGCAGUGGUAAAAUAAAAUGGGUAUAACUCUCUCAUUUGAACUCCAUUUUAUAUAAAUGUCGACUCAUUGGAAAGGUAAUUUCAUAAUAUUUUCAAUAGAUCUAUAUUUUAGUAUAUGAUCUAUUCUAGACAUAGGGAAAAGUCCAUGAAGAAGAGGCAACAAGAUGAUGAGAACAAGAUGGAGGAGAUGAAGAUGACAACAACGAAGAGGAGCUUGGGCAAUGCUUUCAUCAAGCGUACAUGAUCAAAUUCAGAAGCUUAGAACAAAAUAAAAACCUCCGGAGCAUUGGCACAUGAAGACACAAGCAGAGUAUGUCCAAUACAAGGAGAUGUUAGAAGCAAACCAUGAAAGAUUACAAAGGAUGACAUCAAGCUGCAUGGGCACUUUGGAUUCUCAUGCAAAGGACCAUGGCUUUGCAUGAACAUGAUUGAGGUGAGGAGUAUAGCUAUAUGACUAUAACUAAAGCACUUUGCGGGAGGUAAUAUGUCUUUUUAUUUAUUAUUUAUAUUAAGAUGAUGGUCUAUUUUGUUCUCUUUAAUCGAAACCAUCAAGUAACUUUGUACCCUUGCUCUAACAAAUUCUUCAACAACAUGUUGUAUGCUUUAAAUAAUAUUGAGGGAGCACUUUGUUAUUUUAUCUUGGAAAACUUAUAGACUCCUUUUUGUGUGCUAUUAGUGUUUAGAGUAUUUUUCUUUGUGUUUUUAGAGAGAAAUAUGAAGCAUGGCACCACCCUUCGGUUCUAAACUUGUGGCUAGUUAAUUUAGCUAACCUUUGUUUGUUUUAGACCACCAUCAUAUCAUAUUAUUUUCCUCAUCGCAUUGCAUUGCAUGAUUUAUUUUGUUUUAUAACCUUUUGUUAAAACUCUUUUCCACCUAAGCCUUCCUAUCAAUCUUGUUGAAAACCAGAGCCAAUAGAGGUAGGGUUAACUUGUGUUGAUCGGUUUGCUGCACCAUUCAGAUCGACCAAGUCUAUUUUUAUCCUUUGUUCUAACUAAAAAUUUUGACAAGCCUACCUAAUACCUCUGGCCAUCCUAAAACCUUAGGUUUUGUUUUUCAUAAAAAAAUAUAUAACUCUUGCUUUUCUUUUUGUUUGGAAAUCACCUUAAAUAGAAUUUCUAUACCUGAUUUAUCUCUUCAAAAUUCCUGUUUUAAGCCAAAAAUAUAGGAUACCUAUGAACCUACCCUAAGCCUUGUUAGCUUGGUUGUUGGGGCUUUUGAUAAAUGAUUAUCUUGUUGACAUUGCUUGACUUCUUAUGAAGUGGCCCACCUUGCUUUGUCAUUCUAAGCAAUUAUUUUUGAAUCGACUAAAUUGCAGAACAACAUCGAUAGUCUUUUCGACCUUACUAACCCUUGUUUUUUCUAACUCUUUACAUUUGCAUUCUGCAUGUUCACGCUUUUGUUAUGUUAACAUGUUUGGUUUUCUAAACUUUUUGGAGUGCUCGGAUUCUUUGGCUUUAACGUGGUGUUUUAUCCAAGAAUUUCAGUAGCUUAGUAGUAAACGUGGUGUUUAAAACUUAGUGUAAUCUCUAUCGAGUUUGGUCCUUGCCUUUCAUGUUACUAACUUCAUGCAUUCACACUUGCACGCAUGUACACUCAUUAGGUUUUGUUUUUAUUUUACUGGAUUAGCUAUGCCACGAGUUAAAGUCUUAGGGAUGUUGUUGGUUUAUUGACGAUUGUUUCUACUCUAGAUAGUUACUUCAGGGGUAGUAUGUGCACUUGAAUUGUUUUGCAGGCAUAGUGAAGCGCUUUCAUGAAAGGAAAAGAGAAGAAAUUGAAGGAAAAUAAAGGUGACAAAAGUAAGGAAGCAUAAAGAGAAGCUCUGAAUGCGGAGCACAAGGAUUUCAAUAAUCAUAAAAUGCUUCAUCUUCUUCUUCCAUGCCUAGCACAAUGCUAAGCAUGGGGGAGGACUUGGCAGACGAAGAUAAAAAUGCUAUAUGGAAUACAAGGAUCACUGUCACCAGAAGAUGCUCAUUUUUCUUCUUCCAUGCUGAGCACAAUGCUUAAGCAUGGGGGAGGCAGCGUUACACUUCAUUUCAAGCAUUGAAAGGAUGGUAAAUUCUACCUCAACCGUCUCUUUGUCCAUCUCUUUCUAAAAUGCUUGUGUAUAUAAGCCUUCAACCAUAGUCUCGAUGCAACCUUUGUAUAUCUCUUGAUAAUAACAUGUCUACUAGGAGUACAACCUAGUUUUUAUUUUCAAUAAAUCAUGAUCACCAUCACCUUGUGCUCACCACGAUGUUAAUAAUUUUGGUAUAAUCUUGCUUAUGGAAAAAUGAUGAAGGUUGCUGCUUUGUUUUACCUACACAAUGUUUUAUGUGACUCGACUAAUUGCUCUCUAUUUAAUAAACUUAAAUUGAUUAAAUACAGGCUCUUUUAAUUGUGGAGGUUAAAUGACUAAAUUUUAGACUCACAAACUAUAUGUUGCUCUUUGAUUUAAGUUUUCUGAUGACCUAAUAACUUGGUUUGUUUUUAUUUAAAAUUAAUUCAUAUGCUAUCGACAUUUGUGAAUCUCUUGCAAAGUUCUACCUACUAGAGCCUAUAUACAUGCAUGAUCUUUCAUGAUGAAACCUUUAGAUUGCAAACUUAUAUUUUGAUGAGUUGGAUUAAGAUUGAUUGGUUUGAGACUUAGAAGAUGGUCAUAGUGUAAACCUUUUCUUGCUAGCCUUUUCGUACAUGCAUUGCGAAUUCCCAUAUCAGAAAUCUCGCAAACUUUGCUAGGCAUCUGACCUAAAUGCAAAUUAUCAUUUUUGUGACUACCUCCUUGACAAUAACCUAUUAUUGAGUAUGGAAAAAUAUUUCGACAAGGAUUCAGAAGAUAUAUCAGUACCUUUUCAAGAAAAAUAAUAUUUGGAGGCGUCCACCAGUUUGAAGAAUAAAAAGCAAUGGAAACAGUGGCCAGGAGGGGUCAGGCCGAUCGGCCUGGACACCCGGCCGGAGUGGUUUUUCUCCUGAUCCCUCUGAAUUUUUGUGUGGAUGAUUCUCUAGAGGAAUAAAAUAAUUUUCUGAUGAAGAUUCAAGAUUUUAGUACUUACUUGAGCAGUUUAUCUUUCUUUCUCUUUCAUGGUCAAGGACGAGCAUUGUCUAAAAAUAGGGGCAGGAGUCAUUGAAUUACUCUAACUACUAUUGAGUAAAGUAUUAUGUUGCAAGAAGUUCUGAGGAGCAAAAAUAAAAAAUGAGGAAAAAGAAAGAAAGAAGAAAAAGGAAUUGUUGACGCCGGAUUUCGUCAUCAGUAGAAUCGGCGCCAGGGAGGAAAGAAAUCGAAGAAGUACGGUUGGGAAUCGGUCAAAAGGUGCUAUAAUGCGGAAUCGGUUGGAAGCUUUUACUUCGCUUCAGGGUGAAUGCGCCAGAUUCCCAAUCGGCAAUCCUUUGCCGAUAAGAAAUCGGCCGAUCAGGAAGAUGGACUAAGAUGGGCCUGUAUGGGCUUGGAAGGAUGGAAGGAUAAGGUAGAGGUCAGCCCACGAAGCGUGGGGUAAUUAGUUUAGCACGGAUUGUGCUUGUAGAUAUUUGUUUUCUGUUUGAAUUAGAGAUAGAGUUCUAGUCGGUUAAGAAGAUUAUUUGUACGGGGCUAUAAAUAGCUACCUUUGUAAAUCUGUAAACACAACAAUCAAUCAAUACAACGAGUUACUUUCUUCUUCGUACUUACUUUCGAGCAGGCGACUUCGCCAUCACUUUUUCUUCUCACGAGUUCGUGCGGGUUGGUAGGGCUGCAUCAUCUUGAUCUCCGGCCGAUUCUGUAAGUUCCGUUUAU